GGAUGCGAUCAUACCAGCACUAAAUCACCGGAUCCCAUCAGAACUCCGAAGUUAAGCAUGCUUGGGCGAGAGUAGUACUAGGUUGGGUGACCUCCUGGGAAGUCCUCGUGUUGCAUUCC
rnacentral:rRNA from 1 species